UGCGUAGGCGGUGGGGUAAGUCUGAUGUGAAAGCUCGCAGCUCAACUGCGAAAUGGCAUUGGAAACUACCUCGCUAGAGGAGUGGAAGGGGGACUGGAAUACUUGGUGUAGCAGUGAAAUGCGUAGAUAUCAAGUGGAACACCAGUGGCGAAGGCGAGUCCCUGGACACCUCCUGACGCUGAGGCAAAGCUAGGGGAGCAAACA
rnacentral:rRNA from 1 species